UACGUAGGGGGCAAGCGUUGUCCGGAAUCAUUGGGCGUAAAGAGCGUGUAGGCGGCCAGAAAAGUCCGCUGUGAAAACUCGAGGCUCAACUUCGAGCUGUCGGUGGAAACUUUCUGGCUAGAGUCCGGAAGAGGAGAAUGGAAUUCCCGGUGUAGCGGUGAAAUGCGCAGAUAUCGGGAAGAACACCCGUGGCGAAGGCGGUUCUCUGGGACGGUACUGACGCUGAGACGCGAAAGCGUGGGGGAGCGAACAGG
rnacentral:rRNA from 1 species